rnacentral:rRNA from 1 species
UAAAUUAUUAAAUUAUUAUUUUAAUUAUUUUAAUCAUUUUAUAAAAAAUAAUUUUUUAUUUUAGUAAAUCUUAUUGAAAAAAUUAAUUUAUUUAUAAUUUAUUCUACUGUAAAGGUUAUUUUUAAAUUUGAAAAAAGUACUUUUUAUUUAAGGUACCUUUUGUAUCAGGGUUGAUUAAUUUUUAUUAUUUAUAUAAUUUUCCCGAAACUAAAAGAUUUAAAUUAUUAUGAUAUUUAAUGUUUCAAAAUUAUUAUUAAUAAUAAUUUGGGUGUGAGAUACAAUUCAUUUUUAGUAUAUCUGGUUAUUUAAUAGAUAAAUUUAAUUUAGGAAUGUGUUAUUUAAUUAUUGAUUUAAUUAUAUUUAUUUAUACAUUCUAAUAUUGUUGGGGAUAAGCUCGACUUUAUUUCUAAAAAUAUUGUUUUAUAAAAAUUUAUGUAGGGUUAAUAAUACCCAUCAUUUAUUUCGUUAUAGUUAAUUUUUUAAUUAAUUUUAUUUUAUUAUUUUUAGAAUUUUAUUAUAUUGAUUGUUUUAAUUUUUUAAACAAUUUAAUAAUGAUUAAAUUAGUAUUUAUUUAAUUUAAAGUAUAGUAAUUCGGCAAAUAUUAUUCUCGCCUGUUUAACAAAAACAUGUCCUUUUGAUUUUAAUAUGAGGUCGGGCCUGCCCAAUGAUUUUAUUUAAUGGCCGCAGUAUCCUAACUGUGCAAAGGUAGCAUAAUCAUUUGUCUUUUAAUUGAAGGCUGGUAUGAAUGGUUUGACGAAGAAUAAACUUUCUUUACUUUAUAUUAUUGAAUUUAAUUUUUAAGUUAAAAAGCUUAAAUUUUUUUGUAGGACGAGAAGACCCUAUAGAGCUUUAUAAAGAAUUUUUUAUUUUAUUUUUGGAUUUUUAUUUUUUAAAAAAAAGUUUUUUAUUUCGUUGGGGUGACGUGUAAAACUAUUUAACUUUCCAUUAUUUGUUCAUAAAUUUAUGUUUAUUUGAUCCAUUAUUAUUGAUUAUAAGAUUAAGCUACCUUAGGGAUAACAGCGUAAUUCUUUUGGAGAGUUCUUAUCGAUAAGAGAGUUUGCGACCUCGAUGUUGGAUUAAAAUUAGUAUUAGGUGUAGCAGCUUGAUUACUAGGUCUGUUCGACCUUUAAAUUUUUACAUGAUCUGAGUUCAGACCGGCGUGAGCCAGGUUGGUUUCUAUCCUCAAUUAUAUAUGAGUAUCUUAGUACGAAAGGGCCAGAUGCACAAAAUAAUUUUUAAUUUUUGAUUAAUAUUA